AACGCACAUUGCGCCCCCUGGCAUUCCGGGGGGCAUGCCUGUCCGAGCGUCAUUACAACCAUCAAGCACAGCUUGGCAAUGGGCCGUCGCCCCCCCCUCGGAAACGAGGCGGGGGCGUGCCCCAAAACCGUCGGCAGAGUCAGCGCACCCGCCGGGCGUAUCAGAGUAGGGAAGGGGGCGAGAGCCCCCCGACCGAGACGUCCAGCGGCCGCGGGCCCCCGCCGUAAAACCAGCGGAGCCUCCCCACAGAGGCCUCCCGCGAUCCCCACAAGGUUGACCUCGGAUCAGGUAGGGAUACCCGCUGAACUUAA
rnacentral:misc_RNA from 1 species